AGAGCAUGGCUGCUGGGCAGCCAGGUCAACCGGACGGCAAGGCAGGGGUUGGCCGGGGAAGCACUGCGCCGCCCCUGCAUGCCCUGCAUCCUCGGGUCCUGGGAGGGCUGCUCAGUAACUGGAAGGAAAAUGAAACUGAAAAAGAGCAAGGGUCCCGUAGGAUUGAACACAGUUGGUGAAACUUGGGCCGUCUGCCUCAAGUCCCCGCUUGGCAAAACCACUCCCUCCUGGUGGACGCCCUCACCAUGAAGAACAUCCCCCACUUCCCUGACCAGAUACAUCCAGAGGGGAGGCAAGUGGAGACUGGCUGUCUGUAGGGAGUGGAGAAAUGGCAGGUCCAGCUUGGGCUGGUGUCCUCUUCCUCAGAAAGUGCUGUGGGUGAACCCAGAGUCUCAGGGAGCAGAAGCCCCCCUCGCUGGCUUUCUUCACGCGGGGUCCUCGGCAAGCUGCUCUGCACUGCGGAGAACGUGCGCCUUGUCCUCAGAAGACGAGGAAGAGCAGGGCCUCAUGCCGGGGCAGUACGAUGUUCUCCACAGUGCGCUCCAUGGCGCGCACCUGCUCCGGGGAGGCUGUCAGGAACGCCAGGGGCCCGAUGCGCUGCUCCGCACAGGAGUGGCAGAGGUAGCCCCCCUUGUUUUCCUUCCUGUUGCUCUGUGGUGAUGGACAAGAGAGAGAGCUAAGGGGAACAACCAAAGAACAUGGAUUUUCCAGCAAAAAGCAUGGAGUUAUCAUCACAGCUGCCCAGGGACAACGCAUUUGGAUUCUGAUGUUUUCAGAGGGGUGCACAUCCUCAGAGUAACACCUCCCACAGCACCACCAACUAGGUGGCCUCAACACCCCCAAAUUCCCUGAGCUCAGAAACAGUCAUUUAUCCAGUCAAGAUAAAGAACCAAGAAAAGCUGCGCUGGGACCCCAGGGAACAGCUCUCUCUCUAAGCGUGUAUCACAACCCAGCCUCCCAGACCUGCGGCUUCAGCACAGCCAGGCAGCAUCACGUGCCCUGACCUCUGACCCUGGGACAGACCACACACCUCUUGUGCCUCUCAUAUGAAAAGCCCCUAAUAAAGGAUCACACAGCUCUCUCUUAUCUCCUCACCUACAACCCAGAUAAGCACAGAGCUCACAAGCAAAAAAUGCAAAUGGCUGAAUUAAGUUCCACAGACAGCAGACGUACAUAGGUGAUGGGCAGCUUCUUCAUGGUAAGGACGGUGUCAACAGGGAUGGCAUUGUUGCACUGUCCCACGCAGCAGCGCACCACGCCUGUUUUUAAGACGUUGCUUGUCAGCUCUGCUUGCAAGAAGUACUCCUGAGAAAGAAAGAGCGAGAAAGAGAGUCAUGGCGACACCUCCGUUAGGGUCUACUGGAAACACUGAUAGCGGCGGCUCUGUGAGAACCCUUUAGAUGCACUGUAAGUCCCAGAGAGAAAAACCCCGCCUAACCCGUUCUCCCUUACUUCCUCUAACUUUUCCCUGCCUCCAAAGCUAUCGACAGUCCAACUGACAGUCCAAUUGCUUUUUAAAUAUAUAUAUAUUUAACAGAUAAACAUGCAAAACUAUUGCCUGUAAUGACAUUUCCAGAAUAUUUCUGGAUUUUAUUUUAUGCUAAGGUAUCCCCAGCUCAAUCUUCAGAAAACUAUUGUGUAUUCACAUUAUAAGCCAGGCAGGCAACACAGAGGACAUGAAGAAAACUUGCCCCAAACAUCCCUGCGUAUUUCCACCGUCCCGUGCUGCUGGCUGUGCUAGUGAGCAAAUGACAGCCUCGCUAAGCCUGUGUCUUUAUCCAUAAAUGCAGAUGGCACGGUGCCUGCUUCAGGUGGCUGCUGAGGAGAAGAAACCCUUCAAUGCAUGCAAAGCACUCACGCCUGGCACGCAGGGAGCACCCAGAGGAAGCACUAGUGACCUCCCAGGCUGGAAACACCACAAGGACAGGGCACUGUCAGCUUCGCUGCUGCCCUGUGGGGCUCCACAUCACAGACUGAUAUGCUAGCAGGACCGCACACAUCUGCUGCCCAGGAAAGGACGGUUUCGUAUUUUCUGGAUUAUGACCAGCUAUUGAUCUACUUAUUCUACAAUCUGUAACCUACGUUUUGAUUUAUUUGGUCUUUUCUCUUAGACGGCCUGCCUACCAGCUAUGAAAAAGAACAGAAAACCACCAGGCAAACACUCCAGUUAUGGCCAACAAGUACUAACAGCUGACGAGGUGAAAUCCUGUCUGAAGUCACAGAUUUUGCUGAAGUCCCUUGGACUGUCAUCUCAAUUUCCUUCCCGAGAGACAGCCAAGACCAUGAACCUGGCGAGGUCCCUCCAACCCACGGUGAAAUAGCUUCUCGUUUACACGUGUCCAAGGACACAGGUCUCCUUUUAUAGAUGUCUAAUUUACAUGAAUGUUACGCUUCUGGCUUCCUCCUCACCUAGGUUUUCUAAAAUGCUGUAGAGGACUCAGUCACAGCGCUCUCUUGUAUUUCAUUUACCCAUUCCCUUGCUGUGGUUACUCGGUUGUUUCCAAACUAUUUCCAACAAUGCAGCAAUGAACAUCCUGUACCUGACUCCCUGUCCACUCCAGAAGUUUCUCCAGGGCUAGGCUCUCAAGCCGUUUUUGACGCAGUUACCAUUAUAAUGCUAUACAUACGCACAUAUGUAAGAAACACACAUGGAAGAAAAGUUUCACAAAACAUGACUUAACCUAACAUGCAGUGUUCUCUGAUUUCUUUAGAUUUUAUGCCAUUUAACUCUUUUUAAGCCUCUCAUAACCCACCAGAUUAACUGUUUUUAUUUAUAUAAAUUUAAGGGGUGGGGGUCACACCUGUAGUCCCAGCACUUUGGGAGACUGAAGUGGGAGGAUCACUUGAGCCCAGGAGUUCGAGACCAGCCUGGGCAACAUGGCGAAACCCUGUCUCUACCAAAAAUACAAAAAUUAGCUAGGCAUAGUGGUGCACACCUGUAGUCUCAGCUACUCGGGAGGCUGAGGUUGCAGUGAGUUGAGAUCGUGCCACUGCACUCCAGCCUGGGCAACAAAGCAAGACCCUGUAUCUAAACAAAUAAACAAAAAGAAUCUAAGAUUCUGUGAGACCAAGAAGCUGUCUUUGGCCAGACAUAGUGGCUCAAGCCUGUAAUCUCAGCAAUUUGGGAGGCCAAGGCAAACGGAUCACUUGAGGUCAGGAGUUUGAGACCAGCCCAGUCAAUAUGGGUGAAACCCCAUCUCUACUAAAAAUACAAAAAUUAGCCAGGCAUGGUAGCACACGCCUGUAAUCCCAGCUACUCUGAGGCUGAGGCCUGAGAAUCGCUUGAGCCCGGGAGGUGGAGGUUGCGGUGAGCCGAGCAAGAUGGCACCACUGCACUCCAGCCUGGGCUACAGAGAGAGACUCCAUCUCAAAAAAAAAAAAAAACAAAAAAAAAAACCUGUCUUUGAAACAUAACUUCAUGUCACUUAACACCUCAACAAUGUAAUAAUUUCCUUCACUUUCCCAAAACUUAAAGAAACAAAUGAACAAAA
rnacentral:lncRNA from 1 species